rnacentral:rRNA from 1 species
AUUGAACGCUAGCGGGAUGCUUUACACAUGCAAGUCGAACGAGUGGCGGAAGGGUGAGUAAUAUAUCGGAACGUGCCCAGUAGCGGGGGUUAACUACUCGAAAGAGUGGCUAAUACCGCAUACCAGAGGGGCGGCCAAUAUCGGAUUAGCUAGUUGGUGGGGUAAAGGCUCACCAAGGCGACGAGCCGCAGCUGGUUUGAGAGGACGACCAGCCACACUGGUACUGAGACACGGCCCAGACUCCUACGGGAGGCAGCAGUGGGGAAUUUUGGACAAUGGGGAAAACCCUCAUCCAGCCAUCCCGCGUGUAUGAGAAGGCCUUCGGGUUGUAAAGUACUUUUGGCAGAGAAGCGGUAUCUGCAGAAUAAGCACCGGCUAACUACGUGCCAGCAGCCGCGGUAAUUC